rnacentral:rRNA from 1 species
CCUACGGGGGGCAGCAGUGGGGAAUAUUGGGCAAUGGGCGCAAGCCUGACCCAGCAACGCCGCGUGAAGGAAGAAGGCUUUCGGGUUGUAAACUUCUUUUCUCAGGGACGAAGCAAGUGACGGUACCUGAGGAAUAAGCCACGGCUAACUACGUGCAAGCAGCCGCGGUAAUACGUAGGUGGCAGGCGUUAUCCGGAUUUACUGGGUGUAAAGGGCGUGUAGGCGGGAAAGCAAGUGAGAUGUGAAAACCAUGGGCUCAACCUGUGGCCUGCAUCGGAAACUGGUUUGCUUGAGUACUGGGGAGGCAGACGGAAUUCGUAGUGUAGCGGUGAAAUGCGUAGAUAUUAGGAGGAACACCAGUGGCGAAGGCGGUCUGCUGGACAGCAACUGACGCUGAGGCGCGAAAGCGUGGGUAGCAAACAGGAUUAGAUACCCCUGUAGUC